GGGCCCGCACAAGCGGUGGAGUAUGUGGUUUAAUUCGAUGCAACGCGAAGAACCUUACCAGGGUUUGACAUCCUGCGAAUCUCUUGGAAACGAGAGAGUGCCUUCGGGAGCGCAGUGACAGGUGGUGCAUGGCUGUCGUCAGCUCGUGUCGUGAGAUGUUGGGUUAAGUCCUAUAACGAGCGCAACCCCUACCGUUAGUUGCCAGCGAUUCAAGUCGGGGACUCUAACGGGACUGCCGGUGCAAACCGUGAGGAAGGUGGGGACGACGUCAAAUCAUCACGGCCCUUACGUCCUGGGCUACACACGUGCUACAAUGGUCGGUACAGAGGGAAGCUACCCCGCAAGGGGAUGCGGAUCUAUAAAACCGAUCUCAGUUCGGAUCGGGGUCUGCAACUCGACCCCGUGAAGCUGGAAUCGCUAGUAAUCGGAUAUC
rnacentral:rRNA from 1 species